rnacentral:lncRNA from 1 species
AUAAAUUUACCUAAAUUGUGUCCCAUCGGGCGUGCCAAAAAUUGUUACAUGCUGAUCCUCCUGACCAUUGACCUAGUCAAAGAUCUUUCUCAGGGAACGUGUAGGGAUGCGGAACGGCUACGAAUGGUGACCCUCGAAGUUUACGCCCUUCGACCUGAUCAAGCGAUUCGACUGAUGAGAGAUCGGAUCAGCCGAGUUCGUAAAUCUUUACUGUGGAAUCAGUUCGGCUGGAUGAGCCGAAUGUAUGAACUGCUUAAAGACUUGAGUCAGCAAAUGAGCCGAAUGGAAGAAAUACACAAAGAUUACUCGGCCUAAAGAGCCGAAUGCUUUUUAUAUAUUGCAGGUAACUUGCUAGAAUAGUACAAAGAUUGAGUAUGCUUGAUGGCAUACAGACUCGGUUGAUUUAAUUAGGAAUCUACUUCUAAGGAAAAAUAGUAAAUGCAGGAAAGUAGAAAAUUACAAAUAGACUACUCCUAGAACAUGCGAGAAAAUUACAAGGAAAAUAAGGGUGGUCUUCUAUUCUCGGGGAAAAGACCCUUUUUAGGACGUUAUUGGCCUAUUUAUAGAUCGCCCUUAUUAAUAAGUUAUUGAUCGGCCACUACUUCUAUUUUCCCGAGCCACUUUCAGCCGAUCGGAACCGCCUGCAACUGCUUGCGGUUACUAUAACUUUCCUUAAAUCGCGCGGUUUAGGACUCCUCCGAUGCUCUUGGUGCACAGUAAAAUUACUCUUAAUCAAUAAAACUGAAUGGAGUACCGACGUAUCACAUGUCCGCGCCUUAUUGGCCCAACACUAUCGAUAGAACGGAAGCCUUCGUGCUACCAAGUUACUUUCGAUAACGGGGCUUUCAAAUCAACGACCGGCUCCAUUAGACUUGAUCUACACUAUUGAAAGCUUUUUCGCCGCCCGUCGGGCGCCUUGGUGUGUGGAUUGAAAGCUGAGGUGCACGGUAUGUUCCUCUCCUCAGGCCUGGAUGUGGGCGGUAGUCCGCUGAUGAUUGACUUAAGACCGAGUCGGGUGGUAUAUCUUGGCUAAGGUAAAAGAAUCUUAAGAAUGGAUUGUGAAAUAGAAAGUAGAAAUGGUAAAUCUACUUGCAUGGAUUUCAUUUUGCAUUUAGUUGAGGUAUAAGCAUGAUGUUUUUUAGUUGCUUACAGUUAUAUGUUUAUAUAUAUUGGACUAACUUGCUAUGUUGCUUCCUUUGAACAUGGAGAGUCGAGCUCUUCCCUUGGGUGGCCGUACCUACUGGGAACUAUUUUUAUAGUUCUCACCCCCAUAUUUUUCAGGUCCACACGCGAGCGGCGCGACGACGCGAGGAAAUGGCGUAGCUCGAUAGAUAAUGCCCCAUCACUUGAGACCAGAGAUAGAUGUACCCGGAGUACGCAUAACUUAGGGUAUAGAAAGGAAGAAACAAAAUUGUAAUAAAGUUGAUUGUAUUUGGAAGAAAAGAAUGUAAAUGUUAUGUGAAAUGUGACGAAUGCUUGUAAUAGUUUAGUAAUUAUGUUUGAUGCCUUCUUUAUGCAAUCGGUGUAUGAAUUUUGUUCCUAUUUGGAACCACUUGAAUUAUACUGAUUGUGACGUCUUGGGCAGACAGGGGAAACUCUGUCCGUUCGGCGGUCUGUCGGGGCGCCCGAAUCCGACCAAAGAAGCGGAUCUCGGGACGUGACAGCCGCCGCCGAUCAUGCCCCGGCUGGCCAACCGCCAUCUCAGCCGCCAACUUUUUUCUUUCCUUCUCCUCCACCACCAACUUCAUCUCCUUCUCUGCCAGAGUCAAGCCAGAGAGCAUCUCCACCCUCGGGGCCCCCUUAUGGCACCUUCCCCAACUUUCGACGAGGCUCUCUCGUCAGCUGCAGCCGCCCCCGAGCGCCGCCACGCAACUCCUACAAAGUUGGUUCCACUUAGGGUAGGUGCGGUCGCGCCGUGUUGCAUCGCCUCCACCGCCGCCGUCAGCCACUUCCUUCCCUCCCUUUCGAUCCCAGAGAAAGCUCGCACCCCUUUCCUGGUUGCUCCGUCCAUCGCCAUGGCCGGAGAAGGAAGACGAGCCUGAUUUGAGGCUGUGCUGGUUUGGGUUGUCCCCGCACCGCCACCGCCACCGGCUAGGGAGAGCGCCGACCCUUCCCCGUCUCCCACACCCCCUGCAGCCGGGGCACCCACUGCUGAGCCGCCGCCAGUCGUGCUCGGCCCCUUUGCUACCAGCAAACCCGGUUAGGGCUAUUUUGGGUAGUUUUCACUCUUCCGGCGAUCCAAGGCGGUUCUCACACCUUUGGAGGUGAGCACGGUGACCCUAGUCAGUGUUGAUCACAAUGCUCACCUCAUUUGCUGUCGGCGAGUCCCAGAUCAGCGGGUUCGGUCUUGUUGCUCCCCGUGCACAUCGAUCGAUGAACUUCGACUCACUCUCACGCAUCCCACAGUGACCCGCGGUGCUUCGGACAGUGAGCAUAGCCUCCGCUUUCUCGAGACCUGUCAGCCCGCGUCUCGGCUGAUCUCGAAAGCACUCGGUUAGCGAUAACGAGCCAUUAAACUCUACUAAGUGCAUAUAUUAAUGUGAUUAUAUGUAAUAGUAAGGCCUUUCAUGCAAUUUGUCACUUUGCGGCUGCUGUAGGCAGCAUGUAUGUGUGGUUUAUGACCUCUGAACUGAUCGUCCAAGGCCCGAACCUUUCACGGAGACCGAAUAUCGGUUUCGGUGCAUUUUUCAGCGAAAUCUGUCGGUGGAACACGGUUUUGGGUCGGAAUACUGCCACUGAGCAUUGUUGGCUGGUCACCUACAUCGUCUAGAAUGUCCAAAGAUGUCGGGUGAGCGGCGAAGGAUUUCGGUGUCGAAAUUGACACUUUCGGAAACCCGGAUCGGAGUGAUUGUCUGACGAUAAUCGUUUCGACGUGUGACCUUGGUGUUUGUUGCUAGAACAUUCAAAAUGAUAUAUUUUGAGGCAGCGUAUGACUCGUGACAUGAGUCAGUGAGUUUUGGGACACUUUGUGGGUGCUGGCGGUGUCCCGAUGCGAUUUUCGGAACUUCUGGCAGAUUACGGGGAUCGGUCCUUGGGAAACCAAUUCCGUGGUGAGUUCUGGGGAUUGUGAGUACUAUGAUUUGAGUCGGUGGGUUGGACCCUGACCCUGUGGGCCUUUCGUAGGUCCGGUCGACGAUCUUGCGCGAUCUGGAGACAGACGCGACACUAUAAUGGGUAGGUACUUCGAUCUGAAGUCGUACUAGUGGUGCACGCUUGGUGACGUUCUCUCCACCCUCUCUCUAUAUGUUUCUCGUAGUACUUCGAUUAUAAAGCCUAGCACCGUGUGACUUUACUUCAUGUUGCUCUACUCAGUUAACUUUACUUUAUGUUGCUCUACUCGGUUACCCUUAUGUUUGAUUAUCAUGACCUAGUUGGUUGGUUUCGAGAUUCUGGUUGUUUGAUGACCUAUUCGGUCGGCAUACCCUGAGAGUUGAUUAUUGGCUACUUGCCGACGGCUACUGAUCAUAUUUGUAUCGAUCGCCACUACUCGUAUGCAUUUCACGUACACCAGCUGUGUGGCCAACGCAACGGUGUUCUUUUCCGAAAAGGUGGUCGAACUUCCGACCCGUGAGCCCAGGAACUUAUGCUAGGAUUAUAUGCCAUUUAGAGCGGCGUGGAACUUGCCUGAGGUCCUUAGACAGACACGGCGGAUUCUGGGUUGCGUAUUUUGGAUUGACCGUCCAGUUGAUGCAUAUUAUUUACAGUAGUGGUAGUUGCAUAUGUAUAUAUAUCUUGUUUCCUUUUGGCAUUGCUACUGUAUUACUUUUUACUGUUAUAUUUUUUGUUACCAGUGAGUACACUCAACCUCGUCGACUUUCGGUACCCACUGGGAGAUCCUUGUUUGGUUUCUCACCCUCGCCCCCUCUAUUUUGGCUGAACCAGAUUAUACAGCGGGGAGAGCGAGGCUCUCAUAUUGUUGACUGUUGUGGGUGGAGUGCAGCUCACGACAAGGUCGGUUUAGGCUAGCGAGAUAAGUCUCACAUCACCUGGUACUUGUGAGUCUAAGCCUGAUGAGGACGUCAGGGCUUAAGGGGGGAAGAAUGUGAGACCCAAGAUAGUCCUAUAUAUAAGAUAUAGUAAGGCUAAAACUCUUAAACCGGCUUAAGCAUUUUGAGCGGUGGCUAAGCCUAAGAGGUUAAGAGAGUUAAGUGUGCUAAGACGGGAAGUUGGGGUGUUACAUGAGAAGAACGUUGCACUCUUUGAGAUGAAAAUUGUACUUUUUGAGAUGAAAGUUACACUCUUUGGUGAAAGCUCACUAAUGACGUCUAAACAUUAUUUGAAUCCUUGGAAGUUUUCGACUAUGACAUUGACAUCGACAUCGACGAUGAGGAAGUCGUCGGCGACCACAAAAAGAAAUUCUACUCGUUGAAGAGAUCGACAAUGCGGCGACACCCAGAAGUGCGUGCACCGUCGAGCGCCUAGAGAAGCGCCUCGGCCUUGGCGGCGCCUGGACACGCGCGCGCCAUCGAGCACCCGGAGAAGCGCCUCAGCCUUGGUGACGCCCGGACAACUGCGUGCCGUCGAGUUCUCGGAGAAGCACCUCAGCCUUGGCCUUCCCCCUCCUGCCGCUGUCGUUGCCCCCCUCCGCUUGCUCCCGUACGAAAAGAAGAAUAAAAAAUAAAAAAAAUUCUUCUUGAAAGAUCAUUAUGUAUCAUCGUUACUACAGGAAAAGCAAAGAAUCAAAGAACAAAGAAGAGAAAGAUGAAGUUGCACUUUUAAUAUAAAGUUACAAUGUUUCAGAAAAAAUUGCACUGUUUGAGAAAAAUGUUGUACUCUUUAAAACGAAAAUUAUAUUCUUUGAGACGAAAGUUGUACUCUUUGGGCGAAAAUUGCAUUAAAUUUUUAUUAUUUGAACCAUUAUAUACUACUAAAAAAAAUUUUUUUUUUGUAAUUUUUUUAGUAUUUAUCAUUUUGGAUCAUAUUGAAUGGUACUAAAAUUACUAGAAAUAAUAAAUACUGUUAAAUAUAAUUAAAGUUUAUUUAUUAAGGAUAGAAUGAUUAUUUUUUAAUUGAUUACCCUUCAAACUCUAAUAAUUUGGCUUUGCGUUAUUUUUUCUGAAAUUAUAUAAUUUGCGAUCCUGGUAACUGGCCGUCAUUCACAGCUUUAAUGAAAUUUACAGCUUCAUUAGCUGAGAUAAUGUUCAAAAUAGUGAAAUUUAGGGUAGAUUACACUUUUGGUCUGCAAGGCAUGCGAUGCGAUGCUUUGGUCCUCUAAAUUUAAUUUGUUAUAAUUUUUGGCAUGAACUUUAUAAAUUAUUACAAUAAAAUUUCACAAUCCGAUUAAUUUAGUUAACUAAAUAUUAAUGUAUUGCUAAUAUGGUGGUGAUAUAGUAUUGCUGUAAUAGAUGAUGUGACAAUAAUUAAGAUGCCAUAUCAAGUUUAUAUCAACGAUUUGUCAAUAUUUAGCAAGUUAAAUUAGGUUGUGGGACUUAAUUGUAAUAUUUAUAAAGUUUAAGUUAGAAAUUACAACAAGUUAAUGUUUGAUCACCAAAAUGUCACAUGUCUUAUAGUGUGAGAACCAAAAAUGUAAUUUACUUUUAGAAUUUAAUAUAAUCACUAUUGAAUUUCAAAAAUUCCAAAUUAUUUGAUGAAAAUGAUUUGGAAAAAAAAAAGAAAAAAAAAUAAGUUGUAGUGUGAUGGGAAAAUAAAAACAUAUAAAUACAAAAAAAAUUGAAGGUAUGCUUCAAAAUGGCCUAUAUUUACUUGAGAGUUUCUUAAACAAUUUUUUUCUUUUGACCUUUCAACUAUUAAGGGCCCAUCUUGAACAAAAAAGCGUGGGGGAAAAUGCAUACAUAUAGAUGAUAGGGAUAAUUUUAUACAGCUCUCUGUAAACAUAUCAAAUAGCAUAUAUAUUUCUAUAAAUUCAUGUUUUUAAAUUUAUCCCUUCAAAAGUUCAGUGAUGUUCAUAUUUCUCUUUCUGAUUUAUUAUUGUUAGCCCACUGUUUGUUUUUUAAUAGAAGUUAAGUGAAAUAUCAAUUUUGUCAUUAUAAAUAUGUUCCUCCAAAAGUUUGUGCAAAAUGUUCUCCCCCAAAAAAAUCCUCAAUAUUCAUCUUCUUCCUUUACAAAAACUAACCCAAUCUACUAUUGUUGCAAACUCUUCUCUAUCUCUUCUCUUACUUUUUUUCUCCUUUAGCUAUCUAAUACAGAUUCUCCGGUGCUCAAUAUUGGGCAAAGUAACACAUGUCGUGGAUGAAUGAGGAUGAAGAAAUCAUAGUUAUAGAUUCAAAACUAUCAUGAAGGAGAGAGAGGAAGAGGAAGAGGAAGAGGAAGAGAAAGAGGAAGAAGAGUUUUCAUUGCUAGGAUUUUAAUUGAGAAAAUAAGGUAUAAUAUCAAAGGAUGAAAGAUGAAUUUAUUUCACUCACUAACCAAAUUUAAUUAUUUUAUCUAUGGUUAAUUACAUUUUUCUACUGAACAUUAACAGCAAGGGUAUAUUUAAAAUCAUUAGAACUUUUUUAGGGAUAAACAUGAAAACUUGAACUUUGUAGAGAUAUAUCUACUAUUCGAUAUAUUUAUAAAGAGAUGUAUGAAAAUAUCCCUAAACGAUAUGCUAUUUUAUUUUCUAGUGAGAUUGUAAAAAUUAUAAUGUGGCCAUCUGCAUCAUGUAAUAUUUUGUAGAAAAAAAAUAAAGAAGCUUCUCAAUCAUACUUUCUCAUUACGCAUAGUGCAUCUUUUCUGCAAUUUCAAACAGAAUUUAAGAGCCUAUUUGGUAUUGAGAGACACUUGAUAUUAAAAUAAAAGAAAAUAGGGUUAAAAGAAUACAGCGUUACACUUCUCCAUUUCCCAAUAGAAUCUGCAUAAAAUAUUUAUUAAUUGAUAAUUUAAAUUCACGUUUUGGGCCUAUUAAAAUAUUACGAGUCUAGACAUGAGAAGUAAGGUUACAUAUAAAUAUUAAAAAUAUCAUUUUCUAUUAGUUUAAGUUUAUAGAAUACAAUGAUUGAUUCAUAUAAUUUAAAAAUGCGUAAAAUAAAUUAAAUAAUUAUUUAUCGUACUUUUUUACUGUAUGCAAUAUAUGUGAGUAGGGGUGGAAAUGAGCCGAGCUCGAGCGAGCUUACCUCAGCUCAAGCUUGGCCUGAAAUUAAUUUCGAGCAUAAAUUUAGGCUCAAGCUUGGCUUGAAAUUAAUUUCGAGCUGAGCUCGAGCGAGCCUAACUUCGAGUCGAGCGAGCUCGAGCCCUAAACGAGCUGCUUGAAAUUCUUAACAUCAUGCAAUCUAUACUUUAAUUUUUAUAAAAUAUUAUCUAAAAUUUGAUAAAAAAAAAUCUAAUAGUUUAACAUAUAAAAUAAAUGCAUGAAAUACGAUAUUAUAAUACUANGCAUGUAUAUAUUCUAAUGGGAUAGCAUAUAGUUCUCACUGUGGGCUUUUAAUUCUAUAUAAAAUAUAUAUAUAUAUAUAUAUAUAUAUAUAUAUAUAGAGAGAGAGAGAGAGAGAGAGAGAGAGAGAGUUUGGUUACUAUAUAUACUUUUAUGAGUAUAAACCUCUUUAUACUUAUAAGUUUUCAACCGUUAGAUCUAUUCUUUUAAUCAUUUUCGUUCAUUAAAUCAUACUAUUCAACGAACCAUCCACUCAAUUUUAGAGGGCCACUAUUAUUCUAAUCGCACAUCCAACGACUGAAAAUUUAUAAGUAUAAAAGGGUUUAUACUUAUAAGAGAGUAUAGUAACCCGAGCAUAUAUAUAUAUAUAUAUAUAUAUAGAAUUAGGCUACUAUACUAUUAAUAGCAAAAAUCGCUUGCUAUUAGGUUUUCGGCCCUUGGAUGAAAGGAUGUGCGAAGUUAGGAUGAUAGUAGCCUCCUAGGGUUGAGUGGAUGACUAGUUGAAUAUUAUGAUUUAACGGAUGAAAAUGGCUAAAGGGAUAGAUCUAACAGCAGAAAACUCGAUAGCACCAAAUGCUUGGUACUAUCGAUAGUAUAAUAGCCGGACUCUAUAUAUAUAUAUAUAUAGGCAGAUCUAACGGCAAAAAAUUUAAUAGUACAAAGCGCUUAGUACUAUAGAUAGUAUAGAUAGUAUAGUAGCCGGACUAUAUAUAGAGAGAGAGAGAGUCCGACUACUAUAUUAUCGAUAGUACUAAAUGCUUGGUACUAUCGAAUUUUGUGCCGUUAGAUCAUAUUAUUCAACUAACCCCACCCACUCAAUCCUAGAGGAUCACUGUCAUUCUAACCGCACAUUCCUUCAUCCAAAGGUCGAAAACCUAAUAGGAAGUGGUUGGUACUAUUAAUAGUAUAGUAGACUAUAUAUAUAUAUAGAGAGAGAGAUAGAGAGAGAGAGAGAGAGAGAGAGUUGAGCUAGAAUGCUAUCGAUAGCAAACGGGCUCCGUUGCCACCCAUUUGUUUUCGAUGAUGGAGCCUCCAAAUCGACGAUCGAUACCGAUGAACAUGAUCUAUAUCACUUGAAAUGUUUAGAAAUUAAAUUUCAUACAUUUUCGAUAUUGUUCUCUUAUCCAUCGAGUGGACACAAAAAUGAACGGCUUAAAAUGAAUAUUCUUUAAAAAAUAAUGAUAGGAGUCUUGUAAUCAAGAUCAAGAGUAUAGCUCUUGUUUAAAAUAGUUUAAAGAAUUUUCUAACAAAAAUUCAAUUGAUUUGGAUAUCUUUACGCCGUUAAACGAGAAAACGUCUCAUAUCUACCCUUAAAAUUACAAAUUUUGAAACGCUUUGAUCAUUAGGCAAAUGAUGUCGAAAAGAUUUGAAAUUUGAUUUCUAAACACUUCAAGUGGUAUAGAUCAUGUUCAACGGUGCCGAUCGUCGAUUUGGAGGCUCCAGCAUCGAAAACAAAUGGGUGGCAAAAGUGCCGGUUUGCUAUCGAGAGUAUUCUAGCUCAACUCUAUAUAUAUAUAUAUAUAUAUAUAUAUAUAUAUAUAUAUAUAGCAGGGCUGCUGUGCUCUCAGGGGCAUGGAGGCCUUCGUGCUCCUGAGUCGUUUUCGAUGAUGAAAUUUUCGAAUCGGCGAUCAGCUCCGUUAGAGUUGAUCUAGGGUAUUUGAAGUUUCUACAAAAUAAUUUUUGCGAUUUUUUUGAUAUUAUUUACCUAGUAAUCGAAAGGAUUCAAAAUCAAUAAUUUUUAAUGGUUGAUAUCUGCCGUUCUCAAGUUUAACGGUGUAGAAGUAUUCAAAUCAGAUGAAAUUUUGAUACAAAAUUCUUUAUACUAUCUACAAUAAGAUCAAUAUUUCUGAUCGAAAAUUUUAGCGCCAUAUCACCACUUUUUAUAGAAUUUUUAUUUUCAGCCGUUAAAAAUUAUUGAUUUUGAAUCCUUUCGAUCGUUAGGUAAAUGAUAUCGAAAAAUCGCAAAAAUUAUUUUAUAGAAACUUCAAAUACGCUAGAUAAGUUAACGAGCGAUCGUUUCGAUUGCGAAAUUCAUAUCGAAAAGGCUCAGGGAGUAUGGAGGCCUCCUGUCUUAGCAGCAGUCCUUCUAGUAUACUUAAUAAUAUAAUUAUUAUAUAUAUAGAGAGAGAGAGAGAAGAUGAGUGAAGAGAAAAGAAGAUGGAGAGAUGAGAGAGAGUCAGAUAUUGUGCUUGUAAAUACAAGAUUUGGUUUGUUAGUUUUUUACGUUAGAUUAUAUCUCAGGAUACAUUUCAACAUUAGAUUAUAUAUUCAACCAAUACCCACUUACUAGGGGCCAUCAUCUAACGCAUAUCUUUAUCCAUGUGUUAAAUUCCAACACCAAUAAUGUAUUUUUAAAAAAUGAAGCUAAUUAUAUUAUAUAUAUAUAUUAUAUAUAUAUAUUAAUAAUAUAUAUAUAUAUAUAUAUAUAUAUGUUUAUAUGUAUAUAUGUACGAUAAUAUAUACAUAAUAUCAUAUAUAUAUGUUAUUGUAUAUAUAUACAUAUAUAUGUAUAUAUUAUAUAUGAUAAUAUUUAAUUAUACAUAUAACAAUAUAUAGAUAUAUGUUAUAUAUGUAUAUAUGGUAUAGUCAAUUCUAUAUAAUUAUAUAAUAUAUAUAUAUGUAUAUAUAUAUAAUGUAUAUUAUAUAUAUAUAUCAUAUAUAUAUGUAUAAUAUGUAUAUAUGUAUAUUGCAUAUAGAUAUACAUAUAUUAUAUAUAUUAUAUAAUAUGAAUAAUAUAUGAUUAGUAUAUGCUAUAAAUGCAUAAUAUAUUAUUACAGUUACAUGCAUAUUACAUAUAUGUAUUAUGCAGCUAUACAUGCAUAGUAUAAUUAUUGUAUAUAUGAUAUAUAAUGAUCUAUAUACUUAUGUAUAUAUAUGAUGUAGUACUGAUUAUAAUAUAUGUUAUAUAUAUACAUUAUAUAUGUUAUAUGUUAUAUCUAUAUGUUAAUGCAUUAUAUAUGUUAUUACAAUAUAAUAAAUAGUUAUAAUGCAUGAUAUAUGCAUUAUAUACAUAUAUAUAUGUAGAUAUAUAUAUUAUUAGUAGCAUAUAUCAUGCAUAUAUACAUAUAUAUAUAUAUAUAAUAUAUAUGCUAUAUAUAUAUGUAUUAUAUAUAUAUAUAAACAUAUAUAUAUGCAUAAUUAUAUUUAUAAAUAUAUAUAUUGGUAUAAUAUAUAUGUAUAUAUGUAUAUAUAUAUGUUAAGUUAUAUAUAUAUAUGUAUAUGUUAUAUAUAUAAUAUACAUUAUAGUAUAUAUGUAUAUAAUAUAAUAGUAUUAUAUAAUAUAUAUUAUUAUAUAUUAUAUAUAAUUGGCUAGAAUACUUUUAAGAAGCAUCAUUUCUGGUGUUCUAAAUUUUAGCCUUGGAUUACUCCUUGAUUACUAUAGCCUUUGGAUCCAACACAUUCAGCUUACUACAACUAUAACCACCGUUACACAUCAUUCAACUCAUCAUCUCCAUUAAUAGCUAAAACUCAAAAAGACACUAUGUGUUUUAAGGUAUUUAGUCACUUAUUAAUUUACUAGUAAUAUAUAUAUAUAAUAUAUUAUACUCUAUAUAUAUAUUUAGUUUCGAGAAUUAAUAUCGAGAGCGAGUCUGAACAAUAUAGCUGUCGGCUUGAAAAUUAAUUCGAAGCCUAAUUUACGUUCAGUUGCUUGAAAUUAGUUUGACUAGAGUCGAGCGAGGAUAUCAGCCGAACACGAGUCAAACCAGCGUGAUGCAACUUUGAAACCCUUUGUGAGGGAUGUUUUCAACAAAGCUAAAUUUCUUUGGUUGGCCAAGUUUCCAGACCCAAACUCAAGAGUUGGUCAGACUCAACAACCACAAUAAACCCAAAAACAGCUUGAGAAUUGAGAAAGCAAAUGAAGGCAUUAUAGCCAUGGGUUCAGAUAAGAUAUAUCAACAUGUAUAAUAGAAAUUAUGUGCAAAUAAAAAAAGACAAAUGAUAACAAAAGAGAAAACAACAUUAACACUUAUCUUAAUUUUAUUUUCAUUUACACAUGACAAACAUUCACUUUCUUCUUAAUAUAAGGGGGAAAAAAAAAAAAAAAAAAAAAAAAGAAGAAAGGAAUGGAGUUCCUUUACUUUCCUCUCUUCUAUCCUCCUCAAUCUCACCAUGCUUUCAGUACAACCUGCAAAGAAGACCCAAAAAUAAUAUCUCACCUCUUCCUCGCAACUGAGCAAUGUAUCAAGAGGAAGCUCGCGCCGUUCGAAACGAGAGGCGCGUGACGGGCGAUGCUGCGCAGAGUUCAAGCUGCACGCGAAGAACCCGUCUCGAUUCGCGUUGGAAUUGAUUAAUUAUGUAAUUGAUGUAUAAUUUAAUUUUAGUUUAUCUUUCUUUUUCUUUUUUUUGAAGAAAUGAUCUUUGUGAGAUAAUCUAAUGGCAUGCUGGAUGGUGUGGCGGUGCAGUGCGGUGCGCGAUGGAUCGCUCGAAGUGCUAACAGUGUCAGGCCCCUGGGCAGAGCUAAGGGAAUGCUUUGUUCACAUGAUUUUAUGGCCUAGUAAGAUAUAUAAAUAUAUAUAAUAUAGUAUACUAUUAUAUAUAUAAUAUAUAUAUAUAGAUAUAUUAUAUAUUAAUUAUAUAUAAUUUAUAUAAUAUUAUAUUAUAAUAUAUAUUAUUAUAUAUAUAUAUAUAUGAGAGAUGUAAAGUUAUUUCUUUGCUAAAGCUUUGCAAGAUAUGUUCUUUUAUAAAUGUUCAAAAAAUAUUUUUGUUUGUUAAAAAAAUUAUCUUAAAUUUUUCGAUAUAGAGAGCGACUUUUAUAUUAGAGUUUGCUUUAGAGUAUGAAUACUUUUCAUUUAGUCCUUCUAGUCUAUCAAAGAAAAAGAUACGGGUCAUUAUUGUAUGUGCUUAAGUUUUAGAAGCUUUAUUUUAUUAAAGCAAAUUAAGAAACCAGUGCUUGAAUGAAGGUAAAAUGAACAAUACUAUUCGAUAGCAAAUGAGCUCGUUGACCACCAUUUAGUUUCGAGAUAGAGCCUCCAAAUCGAUCGAUCGGCCACCCGUUGAAUAUGAAAUCUAUACACUUUGAAGUAUUUAUAAAUCAAAUUUCAAUCAUUUCGAUAAUCAUUGCCUAAAUGAUCAACAGGUUCCAACAACUCUUAUUAAUACAUGCCGUCCGACCUACGAGGCGUUGUUCUCGAGUUAACGCGUAAAGAAUAUCCUCAAUUGAAUUUGUUAGAAAAUUCUUUUAAACUAUUUAAAACUUCAUAUAACUCUUAUCUUGAUUAAAGGCUUUCUGUAUCAUUUUUAAAGAAUAUUCCAUUUUCAGCCAGUGUCAUUUUAUGAUGUCGACUCGAUGGUUGAGAGAACAAUAUCGAAAAUGUAUGAUAUUUGAUUUCUAAACACUUCCAAGUGGUAUAUGAAUCCAUUAUCAAACGGUGACCGAUGCGUACGAUUUGAAGGCUUCCAUCAUCGAAAAAAAAUGGGUGGCCCAAACGAUACCCGUUUGCUAUCAUAGUAUUCUUACGUCAACUCUCUCUCGUCUCGCUCUCUCUCUCUCUCUUCUCUCUUCUCUCCUAUAUAACCUAUGAGUAUAUAUAGUAUAUAGUAUUAUAUAUAUUUGUUCAUUUGUAGGCCUUUCCCUUCGAGGAACUGCUUCUUAAUUUUUGCUUUAAUAUAAAUAAAGGCCUUUGGACAAGCUUAACGCAAUGACUAAUAAAUGACCCGUACUUUUAUCUUUGAUAAGAACGUAGAAGCUAAACAUGAAAGUAGCUUUCAUGCUCUAAGUAAGGCAGAACUCGUCAUCAAAAAUUGUCUAACUUCUACUACGUACUAGAGCCGAAAAGUUUUAAAGAUAUAUUUUUUUUUAAAAAAAAAAUGGAUACUAAAAAUACUUUUUUUGAAACACUUUACAAAGGAAGGCCAUAUCUUGUGCGCAAAAGCUUUUAAGCAAGAUGAAAUAAGCUUUACACUUCCAUAUUAUAUAUAUAUAUAUAAGGUAUAUAUAUAUAGUAUAAUAUAUAUGAAUUUACUUACAUUAAGGCGCCAUAAAGAUCAAGAUGGGAAUCAACAUUACAUCCUUAGCUUCUGGCCGCCGCGGCGCUGAUACCUGUAGUGCACGUCCGCGGUGAUCCAUCCGCAGCAGCGCGACGCCGUCACCGCAGCCGACACCAGCAUGCACAUUAAUUACUAUCUCACAAAGAUAUCUACUUCAAAAAAAAAAAACAGAAAAGUCGAACUUCAAAAAUUAAAAAAUUAUACAUCAAUUUACAUAUCAAAACUCACAUUCACGAACGCGAAGUCGAGGGACGGGGUCUCUUUCGUUCGGUCUGCAGCUUGAUCUUGCAAGCAGCAGUCGCCGCGCGGAUCGCACGCGCUCCGUUUCGACGGCGGAGCUCCUUCGUUCGACGAUCAAGGCCUCAGUUGCUGAGGAAGGAGGGGAGAUAUGAGUUUGGGGCUUCUUUUGCAGUGUACUGUGAGUGAAGCAUGGUGAGAUUGAGGAGGAUGAGAAGAAGGAGAGUUGAAGGGGAGACUCCCAUUCUUUUCUUUCUUUUUUUUUCUUUUUUUUUUUCCCCCUUUUAAAUAAGGAGAGAGAGGAGUGUUUUGUCAUGGUAAAUGAAUAUUAUACAAUGGAUUAAAAGAUGAAUGUUAUUAGUGUCUUUUGUUUCUUCUAUUUGUGUUCAUCAUUUUGUUCUUUUUUUUUUAUUUGCACAUAAUUCUAUGUAUAUAGAGUUUGUAAUAAUAUCUUAUCUGGAGUGCCCCAUCGUAUUAUGUGGCCCUUUCAUUUGCUUUCCAUCUCAAGCUGUUUUCGUUUGGUUGUUUGGAGCGUUCUAGUUGAGCCUAACUCUUGAGUUUGGUUGUCUGAAAACUUGUCAGCACCAUCAACGAAACUUUAAACUUUGUCGUUGGAACUAGCACCACGCGUCACAUAUAGGGUUGGCCAAAUGUGCGAGCCAGUCGUCGUUUGACUGUGGUUCUGACUCGAUAUUCGGUCUCGCUCGAGCUCCGGCUUCGAAACUAAUUUCAAGGCACUUGCUUGACCUAAAUUAGGCUCGAAAUUUAUAUUCAAGGCGAGUUUGAGCAUACUUGUCCGGCUCGCUCAAUUACCUCGCGAAAUGCUCGAAAAUUAUAUAUAUAUAGUAUAUAUAUAUAUAUAUAUAUGUAGAGAGAGAGAGAUGAGAGAGAAGAGAGACGAGAGAGAGAUGAAGUAGAGAGAUAGAAGAGACGAGAGAGAGAGAGAGAGUUGACCUGGGGCUUGGCUAUUAGUAGCAAGAAUCCCAUUAUUGCACCAGCCCAGUUUUUAGCCUUUGAGAUUCAAUCUCUUUCAUUAUUUCUAACCCAUUGAUUAAAUACUUAUAACCCAGUGGGAACAUCAAACCCUAGGGGAUCCAACUCAACUCUAAAGCGACUAAUAUUAUCUGAUCCCACAAUUUCAUCCAAGAGUUAAAAACUUGAUAGCCACAAAAGUGCGUUUUUACUAUUAAUAGUAUAUUUACAGCGCAAUUCUCUCUCUCUCUCUUCUCCUCGUCUCUCUCUCUCUCUCUCUCUCUCUCUCUCUCUCUCUCUCUCUCUGCUCUCUCGUAUAUAUAUAUAUAUAUAUAUAUAUAGUUGAGCGCUAGAAUACUCUAAAAAAGACAUGAAGGUGGUGCUUUUGAGUUUAGCCAUUGGAUGCAGAGGUGUGUAGCGUGAGAUGAUGGUGAUUAGGUGGUGCGUAGGUGGUAUGUGGUGAAUAGUGUUUGAUACCAAAGGCUAUGUGUAAUCAGGAGUACGAUCCAAGGGCUAAAAACUUAGAAGCCACAAGGAAUUGGUGCUUCUGAAAGUAUUAAAUAUAUAUAUAUUAUAUAAUUUGAGCUUCUAUGCUUUUAAACGAGUACCAAGUUAUUGGUGUUGUAGAUUUUUUAGCAUUGGAUUAAGAGAAUAUGCGCGUUUAGAUGUAAUAUGGGCCCCCCCUAGGGUUGAGUGGGUGGUUGGUUGAAAUAGUAUAAUCUAAUGGUUGUGAACAUGAUCCGAGGAGUAGUAUCUAACCGGUUAAAAAAACUAAAGCACCAAAUGCUUUGGUACUGUUUACACACCAUACUGGACUCUCUCCUCUCUCUCUCUCUUCUUCUCCUCUCUCUCUCUAUAUAUAAAUAGAUAUAUAUAUAGCAAGACUGCUGAUGCUCUCAGGAGCCACGAAGGCUCCUGUGCUCCUUAGCCGUUGUUCAAUGAUAGAAUUUUCGAUAUCGACACAUCGGUCGUUAGACUUGAUUUUGGCGUAUUUGAGUUUCUAUAAAGAUAAAUUUUACGAUUUUUACGAUAUCAUUUACAUAACAAUCGAAACGGAUUCAAUCAUAUAAUUUUUAACUCUGAAAAUAAAAAAUUCUUAAAAGUGUGAUUAUACCACUAAAAUUUUUGAUUCAGAAAUAUUGAUCUCUGUUGUAGAUAGUAUAUAAGAAUUUAUGUAUCAAAAUUUCAUCUGAUUUGAAUAAUUCGUACACCCGUUAAACUUGAGAACGGCAAAAUAUCAACCAUUAAAUAUAUAUAUAUAUAUAGCGAGUCUUACUGCAUAGAGACAGUUUAAUCGAUUGUUCAUCACAUGCAGCAUACGAAUAUGAAAGGAGUAACGAAAAGUUGAUUAAACCGUCUCUCCGCAUAUGAGGCUCCCCCAUAUAAUUUAUUUUUUUGGACUAAAAUAUGUUUAAUUAGUUUAAUGGCAAAGAAAAAUGAUACAUUAUUUUGGUUUUUGCAGGAUGCUCCACUAUCAAACUGUGGGGGAGGUGGUACAUGUGGAACUUGUAUCGUAGAGGUAAAUCUAAUUAAUGUUUCAUUUCCCCCCCUUAAGAAACAAAUAGUUUCCAUUUUUUUAUUAUUUUAUAGCUAUUUCUAAGAAGGAUUUUAGAUAACUUAAUGUAAUGUUAGUUCUUGUUAUUUUGAGUUUCCUUUUCUUUUAUUUUUAUUCUUUUUUUUUUCCUUGCAAUGUUCACAGGAGAAAGUUAGAUAUAUUCCCUUACUAUUACAUACAUGCCCUUCAAGUAAUUAAGGAAAAAAAAAUGAUGAAUAAAUAGGAAUAUGAUUAGUUUAGCAUAUUUUAAAAAAUUCAUGACCAGAAAGAGUUGAUUCCAGUGCUGGUGAAUUUUUAUCUGUUAAUUAAUGCAAUUGCCUUUGUGUUUUUUUAUAAAAUUUUUUUAAAAAAAUUUUGGUUCAUAUUGCUUACUCUAUCUUGUCACAAAUGAAUGGACUUCCAAAUAAUUCAAGAGAUUAUUCAACCCUCAGAAAACAUUUUUUUUUAUUAUUUUUCUUAAUAAGUAUGUUUUAGAAAAACAGAGUCCUCUUUAAUUACUGAAAAGAAUUAGAUACCAGUAAGGUACUGGUUGGCUACUGAAGUUUAAUUAACUUAGUAAGCUUCUCCUCAUUACAUUUUUUUUUUUUGAGCAAUGCUCCUAUGCACCAACUAAUUUUUAACCCUUAAAUAUUUCAAGAUGGACCGUGGCGAUGCAUUUUUAAAAAAGGGGUGACCAGCUUUCGUUGCCAUCGGUGUCGGUCAUUGGGUGUCAAUGGCAAAGACUUUUUUUUUCAUUAUGUAAAGUUAGCACCAAGAGCUUUUUUGAUAAAUUUCCAUCCUCAUAAUGUCUCAUUUUUGUAAAUUCAGAAUAUUUCAUCUUUCUCUAUUCUCAUCCUCCCAAUAUUCCAUUUUUGUAAAUUAAAAUCGGAAUUAUAAUUUAAAGUUAAUUUUCAAACAUAGGAACUCUAAGUUUAAAUAGUUAAUAAAUUUUAUUUUUUAACUAUAAUAUAAAUUAAAUCUAAAUUUAAAAUUUAAAUUGGAUCAAUACUUUUGAACUUCAAUGCUGUUUUCACUAUCAACUAAACAAUUUGAAUUUAAUUUGAAAAAUAGAAGCCUUUUAUUUAAAUAAAUAAUAAAAGUUGGGUUUAGAAAUAUAAUAUAACUUACAAUUUAGAAUAGAUUAAUAUAUUUGAACUUUAAUGUUAUUUUAAUAUUGAAUUAAUAAUUUGAAUUGAAAUGCACUACUCAUUUAAAUAUAAUUUUUUACUUUCUAAAAAUUAAAUUUAAAUUUAAAUUUAAAUUUAACGUAUACAAUUAUAAAGUUUAAACUCAAAUUCAAUUUUAAAUUCAAUUUUACGAAGGUUUGUUACUUAUCAAAUUAGCCACUAUAUAUCUAAUUUGGUAAGUAAUAAAAUUAAAUAAGAAAACAAAGAUUUGUUUGGUGUUAUCAAAUUUGGUAAUUGGUUAGUAUUUAUUUUUCAAUAUUGUCCUUACUAUUGAUCUUAAUUGGUAACCUGUUAAGCAAGUUACUAGUGGAUAAAAGUCAAUAUUAACCUUAAAAUAUGAACAGUUAAAAUUAAAUAAGCCGAUGCAUUGGAACAUUUCUUUUUUAUUUUAAUCUCAAUAUCUAGAAGUAAUCAACUUCUUGCACUAAUUUCAAAGAACAAACUUCCACUAAUGUCAAAUACUAUACACUAUCACCAUUCCAUCUAUAUUUUAAGACUACUAGACCAUUAUCAAAAUUGUUGAAUAAUAUGAUAUUAGAGCCGAUCCUAAGUUUCUUUUAUUCAAGAAAAUCUUAAGUGCAUUUUGUGGCGAUCUUAUUCAUUUAUUAUCUUUUCAGUCAGCGGAUGUGGUAUGAUUCACUUGAUAUUCACUAUAUACUCAAAAUGAAAUUAACUCUGGACCUUUUUUUUUAGGACAUUGCAAUAAGAUAUAUAUGCAGUCUAAAAGUCCAAAUUAUAGUUGCAGAAUCUCUGUAAACUUAAUUUGAAGAGAUUAAUUAAUCAAGCACAAUAAUUUUUUUUUUUAAAUUUCGUGACAAAUUGUUAGGUGGUUGAAGGCAAGGAAUUUCUUUCUCCUCGCACAGAUAAAGAAAAGGAAAUACUUAAGAAGGUAAUCACUGCACCUCUUUAUUUAUUUAUUUAUUUUUUGUGUGCAACUUACAUUUCAUAUUCAGUGCAUUGGCAUUUAUUUUGUGUUUUCUUCAGAAACCCAAGACUUGGAGAUUAGCAUGCCAGACUGCAGUUGGUAAACAUGACUCUAGAGGCCAAGUGAGUUACUACAACCUUGAGCUAAUUUUCUUUAUAAAACAUAUUAGUACUCACUUUGAUCUCUUUCUUAAUCGAGAUUUGUCAGAUAUGAAUAUUAAAAAUACCAUUUUCUAGUAGUUUAAGUUUUCAAAGCAUUUUACACGAUAUAAUGGAAGAGCAUAAAAUAUUUGAAAUAUUGUUCUGCAGUAGCUAACGUUUUAGAGUCACAAGUUUAAUUUGAUUUAAAAUGAAAAAUAUUUAUCCUUCUGCUUAAUUUGUGCAGCUUAUUAUUCAACAGUUACCCGAGUGGAAAGCGCACGAGUGGGAAUAGCCUACAAAUAUCAAAACUAAAAUUUUUAUGGUUUUGAUUCAUGGAAGCUAUCUUUAUUUUUGACUAAGUUUGGAGCUUGAAAGGAGAAUCAAGUUAGAGGCCAUCAAAGGAUAUGUGCAUUUUGUUUCUUGAAACUUAACUAUGUGCUCUUGGAAUAUGAGAUAUCAAAGUGCUAAUGUAGCAACAAAUUAAUACUGAUGUUCAAUCUUAAUUAGAGACAUUUAAACUAAAGUGUGGCAUAGAUUGGUUCUACCUUAAAAUUUUUUAAUGAAUAAAUACUUUAAAAUUUAUAUUCAUGAUUGAAUUGGAUUCUUUUCUGAUGUGAGAGAUGGAGGUUUAACAAGUUAGAGAUGGAACUAAUCAUUAUAGAAAUAUUAUUAGUGUUAAAUGAUACCAGGAUGAGAUUAGGAUCAAACAGACAUUAAAUUUGAAAAUUUUGCUGCAUCUCUCUGUCUUUGCCUCUAUCCAUUCUAAUCUCUGAGUCAUGCAAGUCGCGCUAAAUCAUUCCUCUCUCCAACAUUCUUCUUAUCUUAUUCUAUCUAAUACAAGGCUUAAAGAGUAUAAUUGAGAGGCUCUGUAUGUUGAGAGUUUUAUGUGAUGAACCAAGUCUUUUAUCAAGCAACUCUUUGUCUUUUCUCAUCACAUACAAAGACAUUUCAAUUAAAAAAUAAAGUGAUUUAAAAUUAUUAUGGAGAGAGAGACUUCACAAACAAUCAAUGAUUUAAAGAUCGGGUCAAACUGGCCAGCUCGAUUGAUCCGAUCGUGACUCAGUCUACAAAGCAGUUUGGUUUAACUCUUGAACCAGAUAAGUCUAAAAACUAUUUUGAACAAUUCGAACCGAUGGUUUAACCAUCAAACCAGUAAAAACGGUCAAGUUUUAACUAAACUGGCAAGAGUUUUUUUUUUUAGUAAGCCAUAUUAAAAUCUAACGACUUAAAAUCAAUCUAGCUGAUUUUAUUUUCUAUUAGAACAGACUAGUCUUAUAAAAAGCGAAAUUUGAAAACGUAUAUCUAUUUAAUUUAGUCUAUAAAUUGGUAUCUUAUAAGUAAGUAUGAUAUACUAGAAUAAUAAUAUGAAUAUAUAUGCACCGUUCCAUUUAAUAAAAUUAAAAAUAAUACUUAAAUAUUCAAAAUGUCAUGCAGACAUUAAUGGUUCAAUCAGUGGUUGGCCCAUUGGUUGAACGAGUGAUCCUUGACCCAAUAGAAUUAUUGGAUCGCUAUUUGAUCCGAUUUUUAAAACAUUACAAACCAUCAAAAAUUUUAAAAAAAAUCUCAGUAAAAAAAAAUAUAAAAAAAAAUUUUGAAAAAUGGAGUGGACUUCCCGUUCUUAUGGGCCUCACCACUCACUAAUCCAAGCCCAGGCCUAGCCCAAGUUCUGAUUGAAAGAUCUACUCCUUCAAUCCAGCCCUACCAGUAAUCCGGACUUACUCAAAUGGCAGUGGACAUCCAACCAACUAUUUACGGUCAAAUCCCUCUACAAGUUUAUAGACUACGCAGAACAAAGGGACCCGACGAAUCAACAAAUCUAGAGACUAAAAAUUCUAAUUAAGAUCAAAGUAUUCAUCCGGGUGCUAAUCCGUAAGAGACUCCUCACUGCUGAUAGAUUGCUUACCCGAGGGAUGCAGGUUGACGAACAUUGUGUUUUCUUCGUGUUUUCCACGGAAACCUGCGACCACCUAUUCUACAACUGUAUCUUCGUCGCUUCCUAUUCCUCAAGGCAGCCGUACCUAUUGGGGAUGCGAGUGACGUUCAGGAUCUUUGGACCAUUAUUACUGCUAUCAAGGACACAGCGAAAAGAUCUUAAGCCUCGACCUUUCUUGCGGCAAUUUGGUGGGUAGUUUGGACGAAAAAAAACAAUACUAUCUUCCAAUCGGUGACCCCCAACGCUACCUGAGCCCUUGAAUGCACCAACCUCCUGACGAAAUCCUGGCUCGAGCUCCUCUAACCACAUCAGCACUCGUCUUUACUAUUUUUAUAUUAAUCUCCUCGCUUUCCCUCUCUCUACACUUCCUUCCUGCUUUGCCCUUUUACUGUAACUCUUUUCGGAGGCCCUAGCUGCUUCCAUAUUGUACGCUUAGUUUAUUUUGCUUAAUGAAUGAAGUAGAUAGCGCGCUACCUCUUUCUCACCACUCACCAAUCCAGGCCCAGGCCCAGCACAAGUCCUGAUUCACUUGCAAAGCCUCCUCCAUUUCUCUCUCUCUCUCUCUCUUCUUCCUCGCUGGUCACUGCACCUUCUCCCCCCAACUCCUCCCAUGGCUCAAAACUACUCCUAAACGCUAACCCUAACUCUCCCUCCUCCUCCAAUGGCCCCUACAAUUCACAAUCCUAAACUCUAAACCCUAAUCCGCAGCCCGUUUCUCAUGCCUCUCGUCUUCUCUUCUUCGUCCUCCUCGCGCACUUCCCCCAUUUUCUUCUUCUCCUUCGUCCUCCGCCGCCUCCUCUUCUCGUUGACGGCGGUGGCGAUGGCGCCUCUGUCGGCGUUGUCGCCGAAGCUGAAGAACCUGUGUUACUGCCACCGCGCCCGCGCCCUCGCCCUCGCCGAGGCCCGCUCCGUGCUGACCGAGUACCUGCACUCGACCCACUCCCUCCCCUUCUCCCACGCAGAGCUCAUCGCCUCCUACUCGCCCUUCUCCCUCUUCUCCCUCCUCUCCUCCGUACCCUUCCCUUCCUCCCUCCCCAACUCCGACCUCCUCCGCCGCUUCCUCUCUUUCCGCCCCGUCAACGAGUUCGACUUCUACUUCGAGUCCAUCGGCCUCAAGUCUAAUUAUGCCGAUCAUAAGGCUAGCGAGUCUUAUAUCGUCCGCUACUUGUGAGUUUGAAUCUAACGAGUCUAAUCCAGUUAUAAUAUUUUAGGCGGUGGCUAGGCCAAGAGGUUAAAAGAGUUAGGCACGUUACGACUAAAAUAGUUUUAGGAUGGGUGACGCCCUGAAAAGUUGGGAAGUCACAUUUUGGUGAAAAAAAAUACGCAAAAUAAGUAAGUAAUGAAAGAAACUUUUAAUUUUUUUUCUCCAAUAGAUAACCUUAUAAAUAUUUUAUAUAUUUUCAUUUUAAGUGAAUACUGUUAGAUUAUCUUAAUUUUUAUCUACUAAUAUUUAGUUGUUAUAUUUACUUUUUAUUGAUUGUAAUUAACAAUCAAAUUUAAAUUUAAUUUCUAAUAUAUAUUUUUAACAUUAGUUGAUUUUAAAUUGUUAUUUUAUCUUAAAUUCAGAGUUAAAAUUUAAUUAUACAUUGAAUAUUUUUGUAUUUUUUGAAUUUUAACGAAUUCAAAAUUUAAGUAUAUAUUUUAAACUAAAAGUUCAAAAUUAUAAAUUGACUUUAAUUCAAAGUUUAAAAUUUAAUUAUGAUCCACUUUAAUAUAAAUUUUUAAUUAUUAAUUCAAAUUUGAUAUUAAAAAUUAAAUUUAAUUUACGAUUUUAGGCUCAAACUUUAUAAAAUAAAAGAUAGAAAAUGGCAGAAAUUUUUUCUAAUAGAAAUGUAGAUGAGUUUACUUUUUUAAUUCAAAUUUUUAUUGUAAAUUUUUGGAUCGAUAUGGUGCAAAAAUUUCUAUUAAUUGAGGUAACUAUUAAAAUAAUUUUUAAGUGUAUUUGUACGUUCACUCAACUAAUAUAUAUAGAUUUAAUAUAAUAUGUAUUUUAAAAAUUUAAAUUUAAUGUAAUAUGUUUUGAAAUAUGGUAAAGAAAAAUAAGUAUUUCAUAUUUGGGUUUUCGGGUUUGGAAUCAGGUUUUGGAUUUUUUGUCGGGUUCUUGUUUGGAUAUGAGUUUUUAGAAUCCGUCGGAUUCGAAUUCUGAUUCAGAUUUUAGAUUUGAUAAUCAAAUUAAGGUUUGAACUUUUAAAAAUAUGUUCCAAUUUCGACAGGUUGGCAUCCGGAGCCAGGGAGUGUAUCAUGUGUUUCAUAAGAAACGAGGGCAAAAGAAAUGAGUGCCUCAUGUUUUCUCAAUGUUGUCACGGUUAAUAAAUAAAAUAAUCAUGAUACAAGAAUAAUAGUACCUAUAUAAAUGUUAAGAAGUUGGCCAAAUAAAUCUUUAAUUUAUUUUUUUGCUUGUAAUCUUCUAUACAAAUUUGUUCUAUGUAAAAUUUUUUAAUUUGAGAUAUUGGAGCAUACCAAAUAGAAAUGUUGGACUCAUUUAAAGAGUGCAUGGGUAAUAAAUAUCUAUCUAUAUUAAAAAAUAAAAAUAAAAGUAAAUUAAAAUUAACAAAUUAAUAUUCUAAAACUUUGCAACAAAUUUAUGGUAAUUUAUUAAUAUAGUUAUUCUAGUAUUUUCAAAAAGCUUGGUAAUGAUUAAGCACUAAGUUUAGGGAUGUAAAAUAGGUCGGGUGCCCAUCGCAGCCCAAUUUGGCACGGCCUCAGGCUAAGGGCCUGUUUGUUUUGGUGUAAGUGGAGUGAUGGAAUUCAAGUUCCAUCACUUCCGUUAUUUGUUUUGAUGUAAGUGAAAAAUAUAAUGUAACUCAAGUUACGUUAGAGCUUCAUUUCACCUACUCUCGACUUCCUCCUCUAAAGUGCCGAACUCGACUUUCACUACACUCAAUCUCCUCUAAAAAAUUUAUUAAACAGUAAAACCUAAACUCUACUUUCAUUAUAAAGGAAGUAGAGUUUCCUUUAUAAUGGGUUAGAAUUACCUUAUUUAUAAUAAAUUAGGAUUAUCUUUAAAUAAUAAUAAAAAAAUUAAUUAUAUAAUAGAUUAAAUUUUAUAGUGGUAAAUUUACUACUAUAUUUAGGAGAUAAUGAGAUCCACUUACUUACAUCAAAACAAACAACGGAACUCAAAAAACUAAUUUUACCAGCACCAAGUUACAUCAAAACAAACAACAGAAAUGAUUAAAUUUAACUUUCAGGCGGUACGAGUUACGUCAAAACAAACAACAAAAAAAUAAUCACACUUCAGGAAAACUCAAAUACCACUACACUUGACUUACGUUGAAUCUACAAAUACAUCAAUCCAAACGCCCAAGCUGCA